CGGGCGGCCGUGACCCUGCUGGAGUGCGGGGGGGACCUCCAGCCCCCCGGGGGGUCCCUGACUCUGCUCUGCCGCACCUCUGGGUUCGAUUUUGGGAGUUACAGCAUGUACUGGAUCCGCCAGAGCCCCGGGAAGGCGCUGGAAUGGAUCGCAGGGAUCAGUCGCAGCAGUGGCAAAAUCUACUACGCACCAUCGUUCCAGGGCCGGUUCACGAUGGCGAGUGACAACGGGCAGAGCUCGGUGACGCUGACCAUGAACAACCUCAAGGACGAGGAUUCCGCCGUUUAUUUCUGCGCUAAGCAUACUAGCAAUAGUUGUUGUGGUGCUGCUGCUGCCCAUGACCCGAAGCUGCCCGUGCAUGAUGCCCAAGUGUCCCAGAACCCUCUCUUCCUUCCCUGA